rnacentral:lncRNA from 1 species
UUUAAACGACGAUCUGCCGUGCCACAGUAGCAUAGCUUGUGAGAAGAUUCAUUUGUGGCAAGUUUCCAGCGAUAAUGACGAAGUUAAUUCUUGUGGUGUUUUUGACUGUCCUCUCCAUAGCGGUCAUUGCGGCUGAAGACUGUCCCCAACUGUAGCCAGAGCCAGUGCACCUUCAUGGGAUAUCAAAACUGUGACGUGGGCUACUGCGCCAACCAGGAGGGGCCUACAAUUCAAAUGCGUGCAAAAGUGCCCGGCUGGAAAGUACUGUCAAAGUUACUACCGUUUUUGUGUCUAAGUCAAACAGCAGGGGUGAUGGAAGUGAAGAAAGAAAAAGGAACAUCUUCCUGGGCUUCUGGCAUUGGUUACUCUUUGUAAUAAGUAUUCAAUUAUUGAAUAAAAUAAUUACAUAAA